rnacentral:rRNA from 1 species
ACAAAAGCUGGAAUACACACAUUAGACGAGAAGACCCUGUGGAGCUUCAAACCAACUAUUAAAAAGCACACCACAGCACCUGAUACGCGGUUUUAAGUUGGGGCGACUUCGGAAAAAAACAAAACUUCCAAGCACAGAACCAAAAAUUCUAACAAUGGCUGACAAGCCAAAGUUUAAACAACAGCAGACCCAGUACCACUGAUCAACGAACCAAGUUACCCCAGGGAUAACAGCGCUAUCUUCUUCAAGAGUCCAUAUCGACAAGAAGGUUUACGACCUCGAUGUUGGAUCAGGACACCCAAAUGGUGCAGCCGCUAUUAAUGGUUCGUUUGUUCAACGAUUAACAGUCCU